UAAGCAAAUAGCUUUACCACUCGAAGCCCAAAGUUGUGAGAUACUGAACCCGGGUCCAACUGUUGCAGGCGCUCUACUUCGGCGAAGUCACCUACCGGUCAGAGAAGUGACUCGCUUUGUGCCUGAGGAAUGGUAGGAGGAAAUGGAUACUGAAUUCUAUUAACUCCAACUUCAAUCAUUGCCUAUGUUAGGUUAAUUGUCUAUCCUACUGAAAUCCUGACGAUUCUGUUACUGUUUUCGGCUCCCGGUCGUUGACAGUUCUCACUAUGCCUUCCGAUGCUGACUUAUCGGACGAUGAUCGAAAACCUAAGGUUGGCCCUAGCGCUAACUCCAUCGAUCAGUCUUUGGACGCCAUCGAGAAUCAAUUAUCAUCGAUUUCAGUUGGUCAAUCCGAGUACGAAUCCGAAGCGGAUUCUGACGAUGAAAUCAAGGAACCUUCGUCAUCGAAUCAGGAUAAACUGAAGGAGCUCCCGAAUGGACUGUUGAAUAAGAAUUCCGGAACGGAUAAUUCUGAGGAGCUUCCUCCUAUGAAUGUGGUUGAAGAUGUUAGCUCUUUGGUACCCGUGUGGAGGAACAAUUCUGAAGAAAUGGAGGCUCCGGCAAGUCCUAGUAGCAGUGGCUAUGCGGGUGAAAGAGGGAGUAGCAACGCUAGUAGUAGGGACACUGGCAUUGAGGAGGUCGAUGGUGAAAUUCUUGAAAUUGGCAAGGGUGAUUCUUUUGAUGGAGGUUCGAACUCUCAGGUGCAAUGGCUUCCUGGGAAACGCCAUGGCAAUGAGGAUGAUGCUUCUAUUUCCUGGAGAAAAAGAAAGAAACACUUCUUUGUCUUGAGUCACUCGGGAAAGCCAAUAUACUCGAGAUAUGGAGAUGAACACAAGCUUGCUGGAUUCUCUGCCACUUUGCAAGCCAUCAUUUCAUUUGUUGAGAAUGGGGGUGAUAGAGUCAACUUGGUCAGAGCCGGGAAACAUCAGGUUGUGUUUCUUGUAAAAGGACCUAUUUACUUGGUUUGCAUAAGCUGUACAGAAGAGUCAUAUCAGUCAUUGAAGGGACAACUAGAGCUCCUCUAUGGUCAGAUGAUACUUAUUCUUACGAAAUCUCUGAAUAAAUGUUUUGAGAAGAACCCUAAAUUUGACAUGACUCCUUUGCUUGGAGGAACAGACGUCGUCUUCUCUUCACUAAUCCAUUCAUUCAGUUGGAACCCAGCUAACUUUCUCCAUGCUUACACAUGUCUUCCACUUGCUUAUGCAACAAGGCAAGCUGCUAGUGCCAUCUUGCAUGAUGUAGCUGAUUCAGGGGUUCUGUUUGCCUUAUUAAUGUGUAAACAAAAGGUUAUCAGUCUUGUUGGUGCACAAAAAGCAUCUCUUCACCCUGAUGAUAUGCUAUUGCUCUCCAACUUUAUUAUGUCUUCUGAAUCAUUUAGGACAUCAGAAUCCUUCUCACCAAUUUGCUUACCAAGAUAUAAUCCCAUGUCAUUUCUACAUGCUUAUGUGCAUUACCUCGAUGUUGACACAUACUUAAUAUUGCUUACUACAAGUUCAGAUGCCUUUCAUCAUCUUAAAGAUUGCAGGAUUCGUAUUGAAAAGGUACUUCUGGAGUCCAAUGUACUUAAUGAAGUUCAAAGAUCCAUGGUAGAUGGUGGCAUGCGUGUUGAGGAUUUACCUGCUGAUCAUGGUUCUCAUUCUGGAGCAGUCUCGCAUCAUCUGGGUCAGCCUGGACAUACUAGAGAAUCAUCCGAGAGAUUUUCUGAAGCAUUCAUAGGUGUUGGUGGUCCUGCUGGACUUUGGCAU
rnacentral:misc_RNA from 1 species